UCGACCCCUACUGAGCCUCCAAACCCACGUCUGUACAGUGCGUCUACACUGGCCCACUUUGUAGAUGGUUUGAGGCCCAAGUGAGAGAUGGGGGGUUUAGGGAACUCAGGCCCUACCUCACCCCUGCUCUUUAUGAUUCACUGUAUCUCUAGGGUUUCCCCUUCCCAGCAGAAUGGUUCUUUAUAUAUCAUCAUGCCCCUGUGCCUUUCAGAGACUUGCCUCAGAACCAGGGAGAAGGUCACUGCAAGCCAUCUGCUUAUGAGAUACAUCAGUGGACAGGGGCCCAACUCAGGCAGAGCUCCUCUUUAAGGCCCACUAACACACAGUGCUCGGGCCAGUGGGUCACCUGCCCGGCGACAAGUGGUAAACGUGUAGCCACCUAGGCCCCCAAUCCAGGCAGUGGAGAUGCUGCUUCUGACUGAGGAUGGAGCCAAAGAGAGCCCAGCAUAAUCUGGUCUCUGUAACCACAGAAGGAGUGAGGGACUGGCCUUGUGGGCCUGGCUGCCAGAGGGAGUGAAGCAGAUAAAUCAGUGGAUGUUGACUCAGGGGAGAGAAUUGGGCCUUUCUGACCUGGGCUGUUCCCAAUUCUACCUAGUCCUGCUUAGGAAUAAACCUGGAGACAGUGAGGAGUAGCGGAAAGAAGGGUUCAGGGUUCCACACUCCCCAAAAAGCUGGCCUGGAUUUUCUACCUUUAAUGUGUGGCCUUGAGUAAGUGCCCCCAUGGUGCUGAGCUCCACCCCCUCCUUCCCAUGAUGGAGAGAAGAAUAAUAACAUUCACCUCCAGGGACUCUGGGGAGACUCAGUGUAGCCAGGGUUGGCCCUAGCUCACAAUCCCUGUCCUAAUCCUGCUCUCAAAGGCGACUUUGGAUCUCUCUUGGGAUCACAGGAAAAGAAAAGAGUUGAGCUCCCGCUGAUGACAGUCAGAAAGAGGCCCCCGCUCACUGUCUGCUUGGUGACCUUGGGCAAGCAGCUUACCGUUUCUGAGCCUCUGUUUCCCCAUUUGUAAACUGGGAAUAACAUCCAUUUAGGACCAAGUAAAACAGUGUAUAAGAACCUGAUGUGGAUGACACCCAAAGAGGGUGCUCUCAAGAGAGGGAGCAGGGCCCCACAUUCAUGUUCCCUCUUUCAAAAACCACGGCGUUUUUCCUGUCUCCCCUGUGCUGUAUGGGGGUUCCUCCCCUCAAUAGCCUUCUAUAACUCCCCAUUUCUUAGCAAAUCCAAAACUCACUGCCACUGGGCCUCGGCCAUCUAUAUGGCUCAGCUUCCCACUCUCUUUGCUUUCUCUCUUGUGCUCCAGGAAAAUUCUGUGGGCCUGUGUUCCUAGAAUGUUCUUGUCCUCUCCCACAUCUUUGCUCACAUUCCUCCCCCUCCCCCUGCCAGACAGUGGCCCCUCUGGGCUCCCCCAUAGUCUUUCCAGGUGAAGACUCCUCUGGUUUCUCCAACUUCUCCCUCUCCUGCGUCUGGAGGACAUUGUCCGUAUAUUCUGAUUGUGUACAAGUCACCUAGAUCUUUGUCGUACUCUCCCCAGGUUCUAAGUUGGUCAGCUUGAGGGCAAGGGGUGUGUUUUUCUCAACAUUGCACUCCCCAGCCUACUACCUUUGAUGCAGUGCCUGGCACAUAGUAGGUUCACAAUUUGGGAAACGGUAGAAUUGUUUCAAAGGGUACUGUUGAAAAGUGUCAGAAGAGAGGAGGGUGGUCACUGACACUCAUUAGGCCUCACCUCUGGGCCAGGUGCAUUACAGGUAUCAUUCCAUGAAUCUAUCAGUGAUCCUGUGAGGUGCUUGUUGUCCCCAUUUUAUAGGCAAGGCAAGAGGCUCAGAGAGGAGACAUACCAAAGGUCACAUGCCUAAGGUUAUAAAGCUGGUAAUCAUCAGACACAGAUCCAAACCCAGCGCCUGUCUGACUUGAGAGAGGGAGCUGGGCCUGGGUCUGUUGAGGCCUCCGCGUCUGCCAGCCCCAUGUCUGGCAGCACUGGCUGAAGCCUCUGCCUCCCAGCUUCCUGGAGUUCUUCUCGCUGGACGGAGUGGUCCCUGGUGUCAGCCCAGCAGGGAGCCUGGAGCCUUCUAAGACUCCCAACUCAGGCCCUAGUGCCGCUGCUGAAGAGACUCUGUAGCCACUCAGGCCUACCUUGAGGGACUGGCAAGGGGCUGACUUCACCCUCUACACCCAGGCAGUUGGGACAGAGCUAGCUGCCAUUGCACAAUCUUUACAAACAGAUCUCCAUGCUCAGACCUGGCAGGGCCCACAGAGCUGUGUCAUCCUGUCUAACCUCCUCAUUUGAGAGGCAAGAGCCCAGAGAGGUUAGGCAAUCUGUCCAAAGUCACACAGUGUUCAGAACAUUCUAACCGUAGUCAGCAUUGUGUGAGCUGUGUGUCCAAACCCUUAACAGUGUUUAUCUUUGGAAGGUGGAGUUCCUCUCAUUUUCUUCCUUAUGACUCUGAAUGAUUUGAACUUUUUAAACUUAAAUGUGUAACUUUUGUAACGAAGAAUAAAAGAAGAUUAGAAGGCAAUCAUAUGUAGGUAACAGCAUUGUUGUUAAAACCAAGUUACAGAGUUAGACUGCCUGGAUUAGAAUCCCAGCUUGCUUACUCACCAGCUGUGUGUAUUUGGGCAAGUUACUUUACCUCUGUGAGACUCAGUUUUCUCAUCUUUAAAGCGGGAAUAAUAAUCAUAUCGAUCUUGUAGGGCUGAUAGGAAGGUUAUAUAAGACAGUGAUUGGCACACUAGAGCCUGUGAACCAAACCUAGCUCGCUCCCUCCUUCUGUACAAACCACAAACUAAGACUGGUUUUUAUAUUUUAAAUGGUUGGGGGAAAAAAAUCAAAAGAAGAAUCUCAUUUUAUGACAUGUGAAUGUCAUAUAAAAUUCAAACUUCAGUGUCCAUAAAUAAAGUUUUAUUGGAACACAGCCACACCCGUUCCUUUACAUGGUAUCUGUGGCUGCUGUCACACUACAAUGGGAGGCGUAUAUUGUGACAGAGACAGUAUGGCUCACAAAGCCUCAAAUAUUUACCCAAGUCCCUUUACAGGAAAAGUUUGCCAACCCCUGAUAGGAGCUCAUGGAUGAAAAGUACUGUAGAACAAUGCCUGACACAGAUACAGAUCUCAAAGCAAGGCUUGUUGGACAAAUAAAUGAAGAUGAGCCCAAGAGCCCAGGAGAGGGACCGGGAACAGCAGGGCCUCCGUGACUCACACAAGCUUCAUCCCUGAACCAAGGACGCAGCCUGCCAACAAUGGCCCCAAGCCACACCCCGCCACAGGGGGAACUGAUGCUGCGCUGAAGAAAGCCACCACUAAGAAAACGAAAAGAGAAGCAGCAGACCAGGAGAAAAUAUUUGCAAAACCAAAUCUGAUAACGGACUUGUAUCCAGUAUUUGCAAAGAACUUCUAAACUUAAUAACAACAACGACGACAAAGGAGCAAAAUCCCUGGUGGUCUAGCAGUGAGGAUUAAAAAAGAAAAGAAGCAAAAUAUAUGAACAGCUGUUUCUCCAAAGGAGAUAUACCAAUAGCUAAUAAAAUAUGCACAGAUGCUCCACAACAUUAGUCAUUAGGGAAAUACAGAUUAAAAUCACCAUGAGGUACUACUUCACACACACUAGAAUGACUAAUCAAAGACAGAUAAUAACAGAAGUUGGCUAGGAUGUGGAGAAACAGAACUGCUAUGGUUUUAAUGUCCCCUCUAAAACCCAUGUUGAAAUUUAAUUGCCAUUUGCAGUAUUAAGUAGUGGGACCUUUAUAAAUUACCCAGUCUGUGGUAUUCUGUUAUAGCAGCAGAAAACAAACUAAGACAAGAACCCUCAUACAUUGCAGGUGGGAAUAUAAAGUGGUGCAGCCUCUUUGGAAAACAGUUUGGAGGUUCCUCAAAAAGUUAAACAUACAAUUACCAUAUGACCCAGCAAUUCCACUCCCUAGGUAUCUACCCAAGAGAAAUGAAAACAGGUACUAUACAAACAAAGACUUGUGAGUCACUGUUCAUACAGCAUAAUCCAUAAUAGCCAAACACUGGAAACAACCUAAAUAUCCAUCCACUGAUGAAUGAAUAGGCAAAAUGUGCUCUAUCCAUGCACUGGAACACUAUUCACCAACAGAAAGGAGCAAACUGCUGACGCACGCUGCCGUAUGGAUGAACCUCAAAGGUGGGAAAGUUCAAGAAGCUAGGCACAAGGAACUGCGUAUUGUAUGAUUCCAUUUAUAUGAAAUGUCCGGAAAGGCAAAUUUAGAGAAACAGUAAACAGAUUAAUGGCUGGGUCUGAGGUGGGAACAUGAUUAUCUGUAAGUGGGCAUCAGGGAGGAAUAUUCCUGGGAACCAUGAGAAUGUUCUAGAAUUGAUCUUUAAUUAAUUUUUGUUGUUUUUGUUGUUCUUUGAGAUGGAAUCUCAUGCUGUCACCUGGGCUGAAGUACA
rnacentral:lncRNA from 1 species